GCGUCCUUGGUGUAGCGGUUACACGCAUCCUAUUUGUUCUCGGGUCACAUACAAUCUUUAGGAUGAGUCCGGGGUUCGACUCCCUGAAGACGCA